UUCCGUAGGUGAACGUGCGGAAGGAUCAUUA
rnacentral:ncRNA from 2 species